GUCACACGGAUGCUGUGCGUCGAACGUUGCACGAGCCACGGUGAUCGGUGGAUGUGUUAUGCAAAUUCGAUUUGCGCGCGCUCCUAAUUUCCACGCUGCGCCGCGGAACCGAAUUAUAAGCCCGGUAACGAGAUUUACGGCGACGCGCGUGCAAGCCGAAGAACUGUCGCGGACCUUGAGAGCCUGCCACCGGGUCAAUCGACUGUGUAAACAUCACAGAACGAGAUACACAGCGGUCUUCGCUUGAACAGCCUCAGUGGCGAUAACGGAAAAUGAACUAUUUCUCCGGACGCUAGAAUUAUGUCCUAAGUAACUGUUUCGAGCCACGAUGAGCGUGGAAAUAAACAGAUUCGUGCCGAGUGUAGUCGAUUCGUCGUCGUUGGUGGUAACCGAUGAAAAACGGGUUUAGUCCGGACAUCGUUAGCUCGUUUAUUGCCGAUUAAAGUAGACUCGCCGGAGAGGGGAGAGAGAAGUCGCGAGCGAUCGUCGUAUUUGGGAGAUGAUUGCGACGGGGAACGGUAAUUAUAAAUUACGCGCUUCUUAUGUUUUAUUGCGACGGGUUACGGUUCUUCUCUUACCGGCUACGCGCAAUGAAAAUCGCCGAUACAAGCAUUGUCCUCGACAAUACGACUCCUCGCCUGGUCAAGGCCUGGGAACAGUUAACUACAAACACAGGCUUAAGCCUUACUGCGGUAAGUCGGUGGGACGUUCGUGUCUGUGCAAAAUUUACCUGUAUCCAAAUGUUACUUUAUUUAUAUUUCAAAACUGUGGACCUACGUUUAUUUCUUGUAACACAGCGUAGUUAUGAAA